UGGGGAAUAUUGCACAAUGGGGGAAACCCUGAUGCAGCGACGCCGCGUGAGCGAAGAAGUAUUUCGGUAUGUAAAGCUCUAUCAGCAGGGAAGAAAAUGACGGUACCUGACUAAGAAGCUCCGGCUAAAUACGUGCCAGCAGCCGCGGUAAUACGUAUGGAGCAAGCGUUAUCCGGAUUUACUGGGUGUAAAGGGAGCGUAGGCGGUACGGCAAGUCAGAAGUGAAAUGCCGGGGCUCAACCCCGGAACUGCUUUUGAAACUGUCGAACUAGAUUGCAGGAGAGGUAAGUGGAAUUCCUAGUGUAGCGGUGAAAUGCGUAGAUAUUAGGAGGAACACCAGUGGCGAAGGCGGCUUACUGGACUGUAAAUGACGCUGAGGCUCGAAAGCGUGGGGAGCAAACAGG
rnacentral:rRNA from 1 species